ensembl:lncRNA
CAAAAACUUUUUCACAAGGGCUCUCAUAGCAGCAGUUCAGAGCAGAAGACACCACUGCAGCUCAGCUGCUCUGCAAGGAGACGGCUGCAGCAGCCGCGCCCUGGACGUGCGGCUGCCCUGCUCCACAAGGCCAACCCCAGCCCUGCCAGGAUCACGGUGGCCCAGGGACCUCUCACCCCCAGCCCAGGCCAUUCUACUCCCAGUUGCCUCCUGGUUCCCAGCGCUGCCAGCGUGGACCUCCAAGUGUGGCCCAGGGGUCUGUUGGGGAGGGUGCCCACGGCACCUUUCAGGAGGCCAGGGGGUCCCAAAUCUUUUCACAGCACCAGGCACGGUGUGCCUUUUUCACCGUGUUGCUCUCACCCAGAGGUCCAAGCCGUGGUGGGUCCCGUCACCAGCCUCUUAGCAAGGCUCAGGGCUCCCCUGCAGCGGUCAUUAAAUUCUUCACCACCGUGUGGUCUCGUGUCUGAAAAGCCAGUUUCACUUAAGAACAUUCCUGCAGAAGGAGUAAAAGCAGUGUUUUAUUAAAUGUCCACCCUUGCGGCCACAUCCUUCAUGUUCUGCAAUGUCACGUGCGGCGGUGGGGAGGAAGCACGUGUGUGCCUACGUGGGUUGCAAGGUCUUUUUGAAGAACACACUCAGGCCAUCACCCAGAAACUUGCAGACACCUGUUGUCCACUCACCUGUGGCAGGUGAGGUCAGCAGAACACAAGAACAUACCAGCCCAUCCGCAGGCCAGUGGGAGGCACGAGUUUGGCUGAAUUUGGUGGGGACGACGCAUUCCGACUACAGCAUUCGUCCCAUUCUUCCUUUCAAAGAUAUCGUCUCAACCCAGACGCAAACUAGAUGACCUUGGGAUUGUAUCAGCAUCAAACCCGAGGUCAUCCAGAGCCCCCUUGGCUGUCUUCUAGGAGUUUUCUAGUUUUCUACAUUUAGGUCUGUGGUCCAUUUUAGUUGUUGUCAUGGGCAAAAGCUCCGUGUCUGGAUUUUUUGAUUUUUUGAUUUUGAUUUUGAUUUUUUUGCAGGUGGAUGGCCAGUGUUUGCAGGACCAUUUGUUGACGAGACCCGCUGUGCUCCCUUGUGUUGUCUUUGCUCCUCGGUCAAAGCUCAGGUGACCGAGGAGGGGGUUCCCUCCCAGGGCUCCCUAUUCUGCACGGACCUGCCAGCCUGUCCAGAGCCCUGCAGCUGCGCGUGGUCCCUCCUCUCGCUCUCUUCCUGGCCUGCAAUCCCGCGCUGGCUCCCCUGGGUUUGGGUUUCCGUGGAGUCCCACAGGCAAAGCCACCUCUCCGGCUCCCCAGGCCCAGCGCUGAGUGUGCGGGUGGGCGUCCACGUCACCUUCUCAAGAGUAUCUUCUCUUAAAGAUGCCUCCCUCUUCGGCUCUGCCCCGUCCCGCUCCCGAGUCCAGGGGCUCAGACUUUCACCUGUGGCCGGGUUAAGGCCUUCCCGGACCAUCACUGUCGAGGCCACCCUCCCGUGUUCUCUGCAAAGCCCCACUUUCAUUUCCUUUCAUGUAUUUGUCGGAAGUAUCUCGCGUUGCCCGCUUCUGUGAGUUCACUCAUUAGCUAUGUGAUGGAUGGAAUAAGCUUCUGGAAGACUGGGGUUGCCUGUCUUGUGCUGGGCUCUGUUCCCAGCAUCCAGAGCAGCGUCUGCACACAGUGAACCCUCAGUAAAUCCUAGGACUGAAGGUGCAAACGGGAGAGUUGGAGGAAAUUCUUCUCCAUUCAAGUUUUUCCUGAAGAUGAGAAGACAGUCGGCUUCUAUCUGAAGAAAUAAUAUUGUUCUUUUCUCCUUCUCUGAAAAGCCUCUUGGGAACCCUGGAGUUCCAAGCUUUGGAAACCAAAGACAACGUC